rnacentral:rRNA from 1 species
GACGAACGCUGGCGGCGUGCUUAACACAUGCAAGUCGAACGCUGAAGCUUGGUGCUUGCACUGGGUGGAUGAGUGGCGAACGGGUGAGUAAUACGUGAGUAACCUGCCCUUGACUCUGGGAUAAGCCUGGGAAACUGGGUCUAAUACUGGAUACGACAUGCCACUGCAUGGUGGUGUGUGGAAAGGGUUUUACUGGUUUUGGAUGGGCUCACGGCCUAUCAGCUUGUUGGUGGGGUAAUGGCCUACCAAGGCGACGACGGGUAGCCGGCCUGAGAGGGUGACCGGCCACACUGGGACUGAGACACGGCCCAGACUCCUACGGGAGGCAGCAGUGGGGAAUAUUGCACAAUGGGCGGAAGCCUGAUGCAGCGACGCCGCGUGAGGGAUGACGGCCUUCGGGUUGUGAACCUCUUUCAGCACGGAAGAAGCGAGAGUGACGGUACGUGCAGAAGAAGCGCCGGCUAACUACGUG